AAUAUUUUUUUCUUCACUCUGCUGAGGGGAAUGUACCCAUGCUUCAACAGUUUUACCCAGGAUACACUUCUGCAAAACCACUCCAGUAUUGGACCAGUUUACCCCACUCCACCAUGGAUGUCCUACUUGUGAUGUGGACCUAAACCACCGCCAUGUUAGAGUCACUCUUUCAGGUCUUGUGGAGUAUCCUUCCCGAUUUGCAGGAACCAGCGUGGAUGAAGGGACCGGACAGUUCCCCUGCUGUACCAUGGGCAACCUACCACAAUACCACUGCAUCUCUGAAAUGCCCUAUUUUACAUUUUAUUCACUAAUAAUUU